rnacentral:sRNA from 1 species
CGGGUGUCCAUGACAGUUGACAGACCUGUUUGGUGUGCCUGUUUUGCUAGGAGACCAGAGAACUUGAUGUACUGCAGACAGCUGAGUUACGCAUUUGGUUUUGAAAAAUUAUCUUGUGUGAGGAAUAUGAUUAUAACGUGAAUUUUUCCACAUCUUGGUGUCUGCUAGCUUGAAGUACAAGAAAAUGUUAGUAUUCUACUAUUUAUCUUGCAUUAAAACACUUUAACAUUGAAAACGUGGGACUAAUCAAAACAAUACAGUUUCUUCUUGGUUGCUGGCUGACUUGACCCAAGUCACUGCUCAAACUCUGUUUUCAUAAUAUGAUGGUUUUGGUGUACUCUUCAGAAGACAAAUGUCUGACUUGCGGGAAAAAAACAAACGUUUAGCCAUUUGCAAACAAAUUGUCUCUUUGCAAUUGUCUAAUAUAUGCACAGCAGCCAGUAGAAUUCCCCUUUUUAUUUUUUUUUCCCCGCAGACCAUCUUGAUUCAAAACAUCUAUCGUAAUCCCCAAAACAGUGCACAGACGGCUGACGGCUCACACUACCAUUGCCCUCUUGAACAUUUACCGUAACCCUCAAAACUCUUCCCAGUCUGCUGACGGUUUGCGCU